UAUGAGCCUGCGUCUCUACUCGACUACCCAUUAAUAUUGCGCGAGCGAGUUUAACAAGGAACGACUUCAUCGAGCGCGAAUGACGCUGAGAAGGAUGCACGAGAUAUCUUGAUGACAGAGAACCCACCUUGCAGACAGGGCCGUGUUUAUUCCAGGCCGUGACUUGAUCCUGAUCUACGGGCCGUUCAAGGACACACUUGAUUCGAAAAAUGGGCUCUUUAGACUGCUCAAUGGCCGAGGCAUCUCUUCACCUCCAAGCUGUUUACCAAUUACGGCCUUAUCAGGCCCUGAUUCUUGAUGGAAAUAUUACAAUACGAUACCCUUUAUCUGGGGGAGGGCUUUUGCAAGUUACUUGGAAUUAAGAAGAAGAAGAAGAAGGUUUAGCCACAGCUAGAACUGCAGAGCAAUCGCAUACUUACUUAUC
rnacentral:sRNA from 2 species